AAUGGGCGAAAGCCUGAUCCAGCAAUGCCGCGUGCAGGAUGAAGGCCCUCGGGUUGUAAACUGCCUUUGUACGGAACGAAAAGCCUGGGGCUAAUAUCCCCGGGUCAUGACGGUACCGUAAGGAUAAGCACCGGCUAACUACGUGCCAGCAGCCGCGGUAAUACGUAGGGUGCAAGCGUUAAUCGGAAUUACUGGGCGUAAAGCGUGCGCAGGNGGUUUUGUAAGACAGUGGUGAAAUCCCCGGGCUCAACCUGGGAANUGCCAUUGUGACUGCAAGGCUAGAGUGCGGCAGAGGGGGAUGGAAUUCCGCGUGUAGCAGUGAAAUGCGUAGAUAUGCGGAGGAACACCGAUGGCGAAGGCAACCCCCUGGGCCUGCACUGACGCUCAUGCACGAAAGCGUGGGGAGCAAA
rnacentral:rRNA from 1 species